rnacentral:rRNA from 1 species
GAAGCUGGAUUCGCUAGUAAUCGCGCAUCAGCCAUGGCGCGGUGAAUACGUUCCCGGGCCUUGUACACACCGCCCGCCAAGCCAUGAAAGCCGGGGGGUACCUGAAGUGCGUGAGCGCAAGCAGCGCCCUAAGGUAAAACCGGUGACUGGGGCUAAGUCGUAACAAGGUAGC